rnacentral:rRNA from 1 species
UGCCAGACUCCUACGGGAGGCAGCAGUGGGGAAUAUUGCACAAUGGGGGAAACCCUGAUGCAGCGACGCCGCGUGAAGGAAGAAGUAUCUCGGUAUGUAAACUUCUAUCAGCAGGGAAGAAAACAGACGGUACCUGACUAAGAAGCCCCGGCUAACUACGUGCCAGCAGCCGCGGUAAUACGUAGGGGGCAAGCGUUAUCCGGAUUUACUGGGUGUAAAGGGAGCGUAGACGGCCAGACAAGUCUGAAGUGAAAAUCCAGCGCUUAACGUUGGAAGUGCUUUGGAAACUGCCGGGCUAGAGUGCAGGAGGGGCAGGCGGAAUUCCUAGUGUAGCGGUGAAAUGCGUAGAUAUUAGGAGGAACACCAGUGGCGAAGGCGGCCUGCUGGACUGCAACUGACGUUGCGGCUCGAAGGCGUGGGGAGCAAACAGGAUUAGAUACCCGUACU